rnacentral:rRNA from 1 species
GGGAAUCUGCCCUUGGGUUCGGAAUAACAGUUAGAAAUGACUGCUAAUACCGGAUGAUGUCUUCGGACCAAAGAUUUAUCGCCCAGGGAUGAGCCCGCGUAGGAUUAGGUAGUUGGUGGGGUAAGAGCCUACCAAGCCGACGAUCCUUAGCUGGUCUGAGAGGAUGAUCAGCCACACUGGGACUGAGACACGGCCCAGACUCCUACGGGAGGCAGCAGUGGGGAAUAUUGGACAAUGGGCGAAAGCCUGAUCCAGCAAUGCCGCGUGAGUGAUGAAGGCCUUAGGGUUGUAAAGCUCUUUUACCCGGGAUGAUAAUGACAGUACCGGGAGAAUAAGCUCCGGCUAACUUCGUGCCAGCAGCCGCGGUAAUACGAGGGGAGCUAGCGUUAUUCGGAAUUACUGGGCGUAAAGCGCACGUAGGCGGCUUUGUAAGUAAGGGGUGAAAGCCCAGAGCUCAACUCUGGAAUAGCCUUUUAGACUGCAUCGCUUGAAUCCAGGAGAGGUGAGUGGAAUUCCGAGU